AUUGAACGCUGGCGGCAUGCUUUACACAUGCAAGUCGAACGGCAGCGCGGGCUUCGGCCUGGCGGCGAGUGGCGCACGGGUGAGUAAUGCAUCGGAACGUGCCCAGUAGUGGGGGAUAGCCCGGCGAAAGCCGGAUUAAUACCGCAUACGACCUGAGGGUGAAAGCGGGGGACUGAAGGGCCUCGCGCUAUUGGAGCGGCCGAUGUCGGAUUAGCUAGUUGGUGGGGUAAAGGCUUACCAAGGCGACGAUCCGUAGCUGGUCUGAGAGGACGACCAGCCACACUGGGACUGAGACACGGCCCAGACUCCGACGGGAGGCAGCAGUGGGGAAUUUUGGACAUGGGGGCAACCCUGAUCCAGCCAUGCCGCGUGCGGGAAGAAGGCCUUCGGGUUGUAAACCGCUUUUGUUCGGGAAGAAAUCCUCUGGGCUAAUACCCCGGGGGGAUGACGGUACCGGAAGAAUAAGCACCGGCUAACUACGUG
rnacentral:rRNA from 1 species